GGGUACGCAACUGGCGAUAGGUGCGGCCGGGUUUUACCGGCGCAGCACUGACGUGGAAUCGAUGCAAAGGACUUUUCACAAGCCCUGCGCCAACCACCGGGGAGCGUACCGCCCAGAUGACCGGGCGUCUUAGCCGUUCGCCUGGGCAGCCCU
rnacentral:ncRNA from 1 species